ACGCACGCUGGCGGCGUGCUUAACCCCUGCAAGUCGCACGGAAAGGCCUUUUCGGAGGUACUCGAGUGGCGAACGGGUGAGUAACACGUGGGUGAUCUGCCCUGCACUCUGGGAUAAGCCUGGGAAACUGGGUCUAAUACCGGAUAGGACCGCACUUUAGUGUGUGUGGUGGACAGUUGUUUCGGUGUAGGAUGAGCCCGCGGCCUAUCAGCUUGUUGGUGGGGUAAUGGCCUACCAAGGCGGCGACGGGUAGCCGGACUGAGAGGUUGGUCGGCCACAUUGGGACUGAGAUACGGCCCAGACUCCUACGGGAGGCAGCAGUGGGGAAUAUUGCACAAUGGGCGCAAGCCUGAUGCAGCGACGCCGCGUGGGGGAUGACGGCCUUCGGGUUGUAAACUCCUUUCGCCAGGGACGAAGCGUUUUGUGACGGUACCUGGAGAAGAAGCACCGGCUAACUACGUG
rnacentral:rRNA from 1 species